GAUGAACGCUAGCGGCAGGCCUAAUACAUGCCAGUCGGACGGGAUUCAGGAGCUUGCUUCUGAUGAGAGUGGCGCACGGGUGCGUAACACGUAUGUAACCUACCUUUAUCAGGGGGAUAGCCUCUCGAAAGAGAGAUUAAGCCCGCAUAAAAUCACAGCACAGCAUUGUGUAAUGAUCAAAUAUUUAUAGGAUAAAGAUGGGCAUGCGGAACAUUAGCUAGAUGGCGGGGUAACGGCCCACCAUGGCGACGAUGUUUAGGGGAUCUGAGAGGAUGGCCCCCCACACGGGUACGGAGACACGGACCAGACUCCUACGGGAGGAAGCAGUAAGGAAUAUUGGUGAAUGGGCGGAAGCCUGAACCAGCCAUGCCGCGUGCAGGAAGACGGCCCUACGGAUUGUAAACUGCUUUUAUACGGGAAUAAACCCAGAUACGUGUAUCUGGCUGAAUGUACUGUAAGAAUAAGGAUCGGCUAACUCCGUG
rnacentral:rRNA from 1 species